rnacentral:rRNA from 1 species
CCCGCUGAACUUAAGCAUAUUACUAAGCGCAGGAAAAGAAAAUAACAAUGAUUCCCUCAGUAACGGCGAGUGAAGCGGGAAAAGCUCAAACUUAAAAUCUAGGUUCCUUAUGGUGCCUCGAAUUGUAGUUUCUGGAUUGUCAAUUGCGGUCUCGAUGAACGAUUAGGCGUAAGUUCUCUGGAACAAGGCAUCAGAGAGGGUGAGAAUCCCGUAUGCAGCCUCGCUACAGUCGAUACAAUACGCAUUUAGCUGUCUACGAGUCGGUAUGAUUGGGACUUCAUACCAAAGUAGGAGGUAGUUCUCUUCUAAAGACUAAAUAUCACCAGGAGACCGAUAGCGAAGAAGUAGUGUGAACGAAAGGUGGAAAGAACUUUGAAAAAAAGGUCAAAAGUGCUUGAAGCUGUUAAAAGGGAACGAUAUGGAGUCAGUGAUUGCGCGCAGUAAUUCACUCCGUCGACUGGUAACGAUGCUGGAUGCACGGUGGAGUACGCCACGGAGCGAUCGGUCGUCAAGGAGGACGGAGGUACUUUGCUGUGUCGCGUGUCAACAUCAGCUUGAAGUCGACGGAGAAAGGCGGGAGGAAGGUGGGUUGCACUUUCGGGUGUAACUGUCAUAGCCUCUCGCUGCAUACGUCGCUUUGGACUGAGGAAGAAAACACGUGCCUCGGCGAGGAAGUGGGCGGCCCCGUUCUGCUAAAGGUGUAAGUCUGCUUGCAGGUGGCAUCUUAGGAUGGCGCGGCAAAGUUCACGCCAUCAGCGUGUUCGGCAUGUUGACGAAAUGGCUCCAUAUCACCCGUCUUGAAACACGG